rnacentral:RNase_P_RNA from 1 species
GUAAGCGGACGGGCGGGUCUCGGGCGCCUAUGCCGGCGACGGCGGCGCCUGGGGAAGCUCCACCCUCCGAGGGGGACCGCGACCUGGCGACAGGUGGGGCGAGAGCCCCGGCAACGGCACAGAAACGAUACCCCCUCGCGUGGAUGUGGAUGAUGCCGAUAAGGCUGACUAUACCGAGGAAGGGGUGAAACGGCCGACCCGCGGGGAGCAAGGCCAAAUAGGGACCGAUGAGGCCCCCCACGAGGUCCGGGUGGGCCGCUAAGUCAAAUCCCGCCCUAACAGAAGGUGGGCUACGAUCCGCUUAC